GGUUUUACCUGCCCAAUGUUACGAUGAAUGGCCGCGGUACCCUGACCGUGCUAAGGUAGCGUAAUCAGUUGACCUUUAAAUGAGGUCAGGAAUGAAUGGAAUAACCGGGUUUAGCUGUCUCCAAACCAUUAUAUUGAAUUUACUAUCUAAGUGAAAAAGCUUAGGAUUUAAAAAAGGAGGAGAAGACCCUUAGAAUUUUUUUAAAAAGGAACAUAUUUUCCUUACAGUUUUAUUGGGGCGAUAAAGAAAUAAUUAAAACUUUCUUUUUUAACAAGCCGAUUGUAUUAAGUAAGAAUAAAUUACCUGAGGGAUAACAGCAUAAUUCUAUAACUGAGUUUGUGACCUCGAUGUUGGACUAGGAAACCAGUAGGCUAGCCGUUUACUGUGUUAGGUUCUGUUCGAACUUUUAUUCCU
rnacentral:rRNA from 1 species